UACAGAGGUCUCAAGCGUUGUUCGGAUUCAUUGGGCGUAAAGGGUGCGUAGGCGGCGCGGUAAGUCGGGUGUGAAAUCUCGGAGCUUAACUCCGAAACUGCAUUCGAUACUGCCGUGCUUGAGGACUGGAGAGGAGACUGGAAUUUACGGUGCAGCGGUGAAAUGCGUAGAUAUCGUAAGGAAGACCAGUGGCGAAGGCGGGUCUCUGGACAGGUAUUGACGCUGAGGUGCGAAAGCGUGGGGAGCAAACAGG
rnacentral:rRNA from 1 species